rnacentral:rRNA from 1 species
CAGCCGCCGCGGUAACACGAAGGGUGCAAGCGUUAAUCGGAAUUACUGGGCGUAAAGCGUGCGUAGGCGGUUCGCUAAGACAGAUGUGAAAUCCCCGGGCUUAACCUGGGAACUGCAUUUGUGACUGGCAGGCUAGAGUAUGGCAGAGGGGGGUGGAAUUCCGCGUGUAGCAGUGAAAUGCGUAGAUAUGCGGAGGAACACCGAUGGCGAAGGCAGCCCCCUGGGCCAAUACUGACGCUCAUGCACGAAAGCGUGGGGAGCAAACAGGAUUAGAUACCCCCGUAGUCCCUGUCUCUUAUAA